CUCGGCGACGUUGCGAGACGCCCGCGCCAAAAAGUGUCUUCGUGCGUCCUUGUGCGGCCAAACUUGUCCAGCAGAUCGCUCCGCUUCUGCGCUCAGCUCGCACUCACAAUGUGGAAAAGACAAGUGGGACGGGAUGCACACGGGCAGCCAGUUUGCCGCUCGCUGUCAACUGAAAAUAACACGGUGCCGAAGGGCUGAGGUGACGACAAUCGAAAGUUACCCGUUUUUUGGAUUUGCUCAAAUGACGUUCGCAAGCUGAGCUCUUAUAGACUGUGAUGUCGUUUUCAGUUGACAGCAAGUGGCAUAAUGGCUGGCCCGGAGGUGGAUAAAACUAGGUGGAUAUUGCUGCUUUAUUCAUAAUCCACAAAAUUAAGUAUCAAUCAGAGUACCAUUUUUGACCAGUGGAGCCGAAAACAACAUAGUAUGGUGAAGUACUUUUUUUUUUACUUUACUUUCCCUUUCAUGAAAAAAUAAAUUAAUAUUUAAAAAAAGAAAGAAAUUACAACUGUUUGGUUCUGGAGACUUGUACUUUCGUGUUACUUAUUUUCUUUUAGAAUUUUAGGUCAAUUUCCAAUUAGUGAGGCUGGAAAAAUACAAAGACCCCAUUGUUUUACUACUGGAGGAAUAGGCAGGUCCAUUGUUUUGGGGAUAUUUGGAGAAUAGCUCCACAAAGUUGUUGUUUUUUUUUUUUCUGUGAAAAGCGGUCUUCUUCUGUUUGAGGAACACAGCUAUAGACGCUGAGAGGGAAUUUCUUCAGUGUUCACCCAUGAGUAAGAAUCUGCAUCCACCCCACCAAGCGAUGACGCCAUAACAACAACAUGAGGAGGCUCGCGCGCCCCAAUCGGUCGGCGCCUUUAACAGCCAAACACUUGCUUACGCACCUUAAUUCAUUCACACACUCCUCCACCCUCUGCAUUUUCGGGCAUUUUCCCAGGGUUAUUAUCCCGCGCCAGGUGCCCCGGCCCCCCCAAUCCCAUCCAUCUCCUCCUCUCUAUCCCUUGCCAUUUCUGUGUCCCUCAAAGCGCCAGCAUAGCCCCACCUCGUGGUGCCAAGGUGGGCAGCCUCUGCCUUGGCUGUGCCGAGGCCUUCUGGUGUCCCAGAUAGCUGUGAGUGUGUGUGUGAGUGUGACUGUGUGUGCUCGUCCAGCUCACAGCAGACCAAGCCAGCCCUUUAAACUGUGUCGAGGCUCCAGAUGCUUGGAGAGACUUGGAUUAACACAGGCGUUUGUAUGCAGACACACAGGCACAAACACACACGCUUCAUCCGUAUAACACGUCACGCUUCGCCCUGUCGUAGCAUGCAACGCGUCCCGCGUGAAAGUGUCAAACAGAGGGUGAAGAAACGCACGAAA